rfam:Medicago truncatula strain A17 chromosome 7, whole genome shotgun sequence.
AAACAGCCCCCUAUGUUUGGAUUCUUUGGCAAUUUUGGACCCCCAAGGCAAAAAAAAAUAAAUUAUUGACACGUGACACCUCACUUAGGGUGCCACGUCAGCGUUGACCGAGUCAACAAUGGACUGGGGGUCCAAAACUGCCAAAGAAUCAAAACAUAGGGGGCUGAUU